GGGGGUACAGCUCAGUGGUACAGCAUUCGACUGCGGAUCGAGAGGUCCCCAGUUCAAAACCGGAUGUUCCCU
rnacentral:tRNA from 1 species